AGAGGCCCCGGCCACCAAUGUUGCAGUUACUGAAGCUCCAGCACCAAAGAAAGUGACCCCUUCCACCAAGGCUGCAGUUACUAAAGCUCCAGCACCAAAGAAA